rnacentral:sRNA from 1 species
ACGGAGGGGAGAUCCAGAUUCAAACACGAAGCGGAGGCGCAGGAGCCAAGCGCUGCAAACCAGCACCAAUAAGGAGGAACAAUGAAGGAGUGGCAAGGCUGGAGUUCUAAAGCUUUCAUCCUUCAAACGGCUACAUGCUCCCGUUGCCAACAGAGGUUUUGCUACAUCUGGGAAGAGGUCACUUUUUGAAAUUCUGUAUGCAAUUUUGAGAAAAAGAAUGAUAUUCCUUUUCUCACUCUCCUAAAAAAAAUACAGAAGUUAUUUUCUCCCUUGCCAAAAAAAGAAGAAGAAAACCAAAAAGAGAAAUCAGUUUGAGAUUUGAUUGCACAGACAAGAACAGAGGCCUUGCCAGACCAUGGCAGAUGACUCAGGAAGCCUUUAAUCUUGGCUCCAACCUGGUCUCUGCCUAAGGGUUCAGAAAAAGGGCUGCGCCAUGGAGUAUUCUGGUCUGUAAAAGAAAAAAGACUUUUUAAGAGUCUUCUGGAACUCGGUCUGCUUAAUAAGGCAUUUCAUCCUGAUGUAGUUUCCUCUCCCCUCCUCCACUCUCUCCUCCAUCUUCAUCCUUCCCCCGAGAUCCUGCUUUUCCACCUCUUCUCAGACAAGAGCAGACCUUCCAGGGAUGUCAACCAAACAUGAUUUCAUGAGCUACAAAUUAUACCAGGCCCAUCCUAUCAAUCAAUCAAGGCUGGAUGUGGCGACCAAGUAGAAGGAAAACUAUUCCAAAAGCAGCCAAAAGAGUAUCACCUUUUCCAGAAUCAAGGAAGAGAGGAAAGAAGGGAAGAAAGAUGGGAGGGAGAAGGAAGGAAACACAGAAAUUUAAAUUGUUGCAACGACAAUUUACAAGCCAGUGGUGAAGCUCAUCCUUGAGGAUCCAAAAGGGUCAUAUGUUCUGGUCGGUUUUGUUAUCUAUGUUGUUG